GACGAACGCUGGCGGCGUGCUUAACACAUGCAAGUCGAACGGAAAGGCCCUGCUUUUGUGGGGUGCUCGAGUGGCGAACGGGUGAGUAACACGUGAGUAACCUGCCCUUUACUUUGGGAUAACUUCAGGAAACUGGGGCUAAUACCGGAUAGGAGCUCCUGCUGCAUGGUGGGGGUUGGAUAGUUUCGGCGGUUGGGGAUGGACUCGCGGCUUAUCAGCUUGUUGGUGGGGUAGUGGCUUACCAAGGCUUUGACGGGUAGCCGGCCUGAGAGGGCGACCGGCCACAUUGGGACUGAGAUACGGCCCAGACUCAUACGGGAGGCAGGAGGGGGGAAUAGUGCACGAUGGGCGGAAGCGUGAUGCAGCAACGCCGGGUGCGGGAUGACGGCAUUCGGGUUGUAAGCCGCUUUCGCCUGUGACGAAGCGUGAGUAACGGUAAUGGGUAAAGAAGCACCGGCUAACUAGGU
rnacentral:rRNA from 1 species